AAAAGCCCAGCCGCCGGAUCAGGCAUCUACCGAUCUACGGAAAGCAGCGUAGGCGCGGGCUGUCCGUCGCCAUCUUCUCGACACUUCACGAUCCAUCGUCGUCGCUAGGCUACGCUGCCACACCCGCCGAAACCUCGCCGCUUCCCCUUGCGCCGCCCGCCUCGAUAUGCUCUAGCCGGCGGCUGCCGGACUAAGCCCGUGACGGCGCCAUUCGCUUGCCCUGCCGCCCACACCUUGCUCGGUCUGCAGCGCCGCCCGUGUCUCCCUGGUGCUAGGCGAACGAGGGGGGCUCGCCGCACCGGCGCGGGAUGGCAAGGGGCAGCAGCAACGAGCUACAGCAGGGAGCGGACCACGGUACGCUGAGUGCAGGAGAUUAAUGAUGAAGCCUACGAUGACACUCAAGAUAAGAAAAGAGGAGGUUCACAAGGACGAGCUAAGCAUUGAGGUCAGUACCAAUAAAAACAAAACACAAGAUGGAGAAAUGGAAAGUCAACUCUAUGGUUACUCUUUUGGUGCACUAGAGAAAAGUUAACUCCAUGGCUGAUUUUUUGUAUACAUGUGGAAAGUUAACACCAUUGUUACGCUUUUGGUGCACAUAUGAACCAGGGAUUACUUAACUCCAUGGCUGAUCAUUCCAUGUGGGAAGUUACCCACAUAGUUACUCUUUUUGUAUACAUAUGCGAACCAGUAGAAACUUUAACUCCAUGGCUGAUCUUUUGGUAUACAUAUGACCCAGUUUGAUCAAGAGCUUCUCUACACAUUUAAGAUUAGGAGCUCUUGAUAAAUCUAAAAACAAAUGUAAUCUUAUGUUAUUAUAUUGUUAUUAUAUUGGACAAGAGAGUUUAUUAAAUUCCUAAAG